rfam:Erinaceus europaeus unplaced genomic scaffold scaffold00321, whole genome shotgun sequence
CGCAGGGUCUCUUGGAGCGGAGCACUCGGGAAACCCUGCAAUUCGGGCAAGACUUGGGCUGCUUUGAAGGCGCUGCCAUCCGAGGAGCCUUCUCCUGG